rnacentral:lncRNA from 1 species
CUCGGAUCUCUACUGUAAGCAAAUUCCAUCCGAGCCUCUGCUGUAAACGUAUUUCUUUCGAACUUCCAUUACAGGUAGACUUCAGUCGAGCUUCUUCGUAGUCGGGUCCCAGACGAGCUUCUACAAUGGGACAAGACUCAUCAGCCAGGUCGCUACUCCGAGCUCCCACGACAAUCGAUCUUCGAUCGAGCUUCCAUAAUGGGACAGGACUCAUCGGCC